rnacentral:rRNA from 1 species
UGGGGAAUAUUGCACAAUGGGCGCAAGCCUGAUGCAGCCAUGCCGCGUGUGUGAAGAGGGCCUUCGGGUUGUAAAGCACUUUCAGCGAGGAGGAAGGUGGUGAGCUUAAUACGCUCAUCAAUUGACGUUACUCGCAGAAGAAGCACCGGCUAACUCCGUGCCAGCAGCCGCGGUAAUACGGAGGGUGCAAGCGUAAUCGAAUUACUGGGCGUAAAGCGCACGCAGGCGGUUUGUUAAGUCAGAUGUGAAAUCCCCGGGCUCAACCUGGGAACUGCAUUUGAAAACUGGCAAGCUAGAGUCUCGUAGAGGGGGGUAGAAUUCCAGGUGUAGCGGUGAAAUGCGUAGAGAUCUGGAGGAAUACCGGUGGCGAAGGCGGCCCCCUGGACGAAGACUGACGCUCAGGUGCGAAAAGCGUGGGGCAGCAAACAGGAUUAGAUACCCUGGUAGUCCAGCGCUGUAAAACGAUGUCGAUUUUGGAGGUUGUGCCCUUGAGGCGUGGCUCCGAGCUAA